rnacentral:rRNA from 1 species
GACGAACGCUGGCGGCGUGCUUAACACAUGCAAGUCGAACGGAAAGGCCCUGCUUUUGUGGGGUGCUCGAGUGGCGAACGGGUGAGUAACACGUGAGUAACCUGCCCUUGACUUUGGGAUAACUUCAGGAAACUGGGGCUAAUACCGGAUAGGAGCUCCUGCUGCAUGGUGGGGGUUGGAAAGUUUCGGCGGUUGGGGAUGGACUCGCGGCUUAUCAGCUUGUUGGUGGGGUAGUGGCUUACCAAGGCUUUGACGGGUAGCCGGCCUGAGAGGGUGACCGGCCACAUUGGGACUGAGAUACGGCCCAGACUGCUACGGGAGGCAGCAGUGGGGAAUAUUGCACAAUGGGCGGAAGCCUGAUGAAGAAACGCCGCGUGCGGGAUGACGGCCUUCGGGUUGUAAACCGCUUUCGCCUGUGACGAAGCGUGAGUGACGGUAAUGGGUAAAGAAGCACCGGCUAACUACGUG